rnacentral:lncRNA from 1 species
UACAUGCAGAAAUAAUACAUCUAAAUAUUUAUGCAUAAUUAAUUAUAAUACUACUACAUUACUUCUCUACGUUAACGAUAUAUCAAUAUUUAGUCAACUAAAUUAAAUUUUAGAACUUACUUAUAAUAAUUCUAAAAAUUCGAGCUAAAAAUUAAAUAGUACUAAAGUUCGAGGACCAAAUUAUCAACCAUCUUAUAGUUUGAGGACCAAACCUG